rnacentral:rRNA from 1 species
UGGGGAAUAUUGGACAAUGGGCGCAAGCCUGAUCCAGCCAUGCCGCGUGUGUGAAGAAGGCCUUUUGGUUGUAAAGCACUUUAAGCGAGGAGGAGGCUACUUGGAUUAAUACUCUAGGAUAGUGGACGUUACUCGCAGAAUAAGCACCGGCUAACUCUGUGCCAGCAGCCGCGGUAAUACAGAGGGUGCGAGCGUUAAUCGGAUUUACUGGGCGUAAAGCGUGCGUAGGCGGCUUUUUAAGUCGGAUGUGAAAUCCCUGAGCUUAACUUAGGAAGUGCAGUAGAUACUGGGGAGGUGGAGUAUGGGAGAGGGUGGUAGAAUUCCGGGUGUAGCGGGGAAAUGCGUAGAGGGCUGGAGGAAUACCGAUGGCGAAGGCAGCCAUCUGGCCUAAUACUGACGCUGAGGUACGAAAGCAUGGGGAGCAAACAGG